AAAUAUUUCAGAAUAAAGAAAUCAUUUAGAAUAACGAACGAGAUAACGACUAGUAUAUACUACUGAAACAUUUCGUAGAACAUUCAUUUGUAACACUGUUAUCUCUAUUUUCCACAAAUGAGUUUCCUUUAUUUAGAGAAAAUGAGAAUAAUUAUUGAAAUUUGGUUCCUUACUUUGGCGAUUCUUCCCAAUUCUAUUGAAUUAUCAAGAAGUAGAUCGGCCACAAUUUAUCCUGCUCCCUUCGAACUUAAUAUUCAUUUUAUCCAAGGUUCUAGAGGCCAGCGCCUGAAUAUACCAGCAGGAUAUUCUUAUAAUGUAGGAAUAGAAGGUAAUUUCAUUAUCGGAGCAGUCCUGAACGGAAAGUUAUAUCCAUUUCUGAUUCCUACUCUUGGGAAAGUUAAAAUUAGCGUAGAUGACAUGGAGCAUACUACACUAAUACAACAAUAUGACCCUCUGAUGCAGCUUUAUUACCGUGACUUCGGACCAGAAAACCGUUAUAUUCAUAGAGCCAUGCGACCUCUGUUGUCGUAACUCUUGGUUAAUGCAACUUUUUCUGGUUGUCUAUUGUCCUUAGGAGCUCAACUACCCGUAUAGAAAAAGUACGAGGACUUCGAGUGAGAAAAUGUUUAAUAUAUGAAGCCAGUGGCAAGGUUAUAAGUUAACUUGCUUUGUUUCAAACAUUUUAAACCAGCCUAAUGAACAUUGGUUUCCUUACUUUGCCGAAUUCGCAUCUUGAGCUCGCCGUAAACAAAUGUAACGCCUAAUUAGUUUAAUAAAUUCAUCUGGCGGACGAAAACUAACAUCCAAAACAUUAUAUCUCGCAAUUGGAAGUAUCUCACAGGUAUCAUUUGGACCACCCUAGUCGGUAUGGCCCAUUAAAGUGCGCCAUUAUGAAGAAAGAGAAAUUUUCUGUCGACGCCUCGGUGGCAAAACUAGUUAAUACGCUGACACAUACAAAGACAGUGCUCCCAGUAUGAACUUGGACAGAGGUAGAUUUUUCUUGUUUAUCUAAAAAAGGACAAUCAGCAUAUGAAAAAAAAUUAACAUCUAUCUAAUUUAAUUCAUUAAUAUUUGAGAGCAAAUAAAUUAUUUCUACCUACAGAAAAUGUUGCCUCUUCUUUCUUCUUAAUUUCUAUCUGAAUUAUAUAUUUCUAAAGAAUUUGUAGACAUCAGAAUCAAGGUUUUCCAGUAAAAAGAAACUAAUUGGGGCGAAUUGAGAAGAAUUUGCUAGCAGCCAGUUCAAGUCUCGAGACAUGCAAUUUUUAUUAAUUUUCCUCGAAAUGGCCUUGACCACGAAUUGGGGGGAAUCGACACGCAUUCAAUUCACGCUGACUUAAUUCGUUUAAGUGAAUCAGAAAGAAGAAUUCAGACGAAUUUAAACAUGUUAAUGUGCUGAAAUCCGGCCCGAUUCGUUUUUUUACUGUGUUAAAUUCUCCCAUUAAUGAAAAUGGUGUAUUCUCCAACUAGAGAAGGAAAAAUCAGUGUUUUGUUGAGCACGAUGCUUACAGAACAAGCAACUAGAAAAUAAGGUUCAUAAUAAAUUUUAUACUUAUAAUUGUAUUAUACGAAUUG